rnacentral:tRNA from 1 species
GCUUUAAUAGUUUAAAUAAAAUAAUGGUCUUGUAAUCCGUAGUUGAAUUGUUAUUCUUGAAGCU